rnacentral:rRNA from 1 species
UGAAUACGAGACGCUACGGCGUCGAAGCAGUCUAUGUCAGACUUCCAAGAAAAGCUCGCAAUGUCAUAAACAAAUAAUGCCUGUACCAUAACCGACACAGGUGGGUAGGUAGAGUAUACUAAGGGGCGCGAGAUAACUCUCUCUAAGGAACUCGGCAAAAUGACUCCGUAACUUCGGGAGAAGGAGUGCCUUAUUUAUAAGGUUGCAAUAACAAGAUCCAAGCAACUGUUUAUCAAAAACACAGGUCUCCGCUAAGUCGUAAGACGAUGUAUGGGGGCUGACGCCUGCCCAGUGCCAGAAGGUUAAAGAAGUUGGUUAGCAUUCGCGAAGCUGAUAACUGAAGCCCUGGUGAACGGCGGCCGUAACUAUAACGGUCCUAAGGUAGCGAAAUUCCUUGUCGGGUAAGUUCCGACCCGCACGAAAGGCGUAAUGAUUUGGAUACUGUCUCGGAGAGGGGCUCGGUGAAAUAGACUUGUCUGUGAAGAUGCGGACUACCUGCACCUGGACAGAAAGACCCUAUGAAGCUUUACUGUAACUUGAAAUUGAAAUUGGACUUUAUUUGCGCAGCAUAGGUGGGAGGCUUUGAGAGUAUUCUUGCGGGAAUAUUGGAGCCAUCAGUGAGAUACCACUCUUGUAAUGUUAGAUUUCUAACUUUGUAUCAUUAUCUGGUCAAAGAACAGUUUCAGGCGGGCAGUUUGACUGGGGCGGUCGCCUCCCAAAUGGUAACGGAGGCGUACAAAGGUUUCCUCUGAACGGGUAGAAAUCGUAUCUAGAGUGUAAAGGCAUAAGGAAGCUUGACUGUGAGACCUACAAGUCGAGCAGGGACGAAAGUCGGUCUUAGUGAUCUGACGGUGCUGAGUGGAAAGGCCGUCACUCAACGGAUAAAAGUUACUCUAGGAUAACAGGCUGAUCUCCCCCAAGAGUUCACAUCGACGGGGAGGUUUGGCACCUCGAUGUCGGCUCAUCGCAUCCUGGGGCGGUAGUACGUCCCAAGGGUUGGGCUGUUCGCCCAUGAAAGCGGUACGCGAGCUGGGUUCAGAACGUCGUGAGACAGUUUGGUCCAUAUCCGGUGUAGGCGUUAGAAUAUUGAGAGGAGCCUUCUUUAGCACGAGAGGACCGAGAAGGACAUACCUCUGGUGUACCAGUUAUCGUGCCAACGGUAAACGCUGGGUAGCUAUGUAUGGAGAGGAUAACCGCUGAAAGCAUCUAAGUGGGAAGCCCACCUCAAGAUAAGUAUUCUCA